UUAUUUUUUUAUUGCUUCUUAACUAACAGUUACAAUUACCACCAUGUGUAAAAUAAGAUCAGUUUCAGGAUGACUUCAAGGCCCAAGUUUAUAACAUUGGCAGGCUACAGGAGGUGGGAUGAGUCCUGCCAAAGCUAACAGCUAAUUUGGGGAAGUCUACUCGGACAACUUUGGUAAAAUCAGCUAAACUCUCCUUAGUCUUUGUUUGCAGAAGUAGCAGCAGCUAGCUAACACCUUCUGAUUGCUCACCAUGUGCCCUUGACUGAGUUAAAUGUGUUAUAUGCAGACAACUGCGGUUGAAACAAGCUGCUACUCAUUAGCAGGAUGACUUAACCAUAAAAAUCUUCAAUUUUCUCUGGAAAAUGGGGAUAAUAAGCUCAUAUAAUCUCCUAGGGUUGCUGGGAGAAUUAAAUCAGAAGCUAUGAUAAUAAGGCAAACAGAUGCUUCUGGAGUGUAGCAGAUUGUAUUUCUGAAAAUGGCCACAAGAAUGUGCUCUCCUAGAACCUUGCCCAUGCCCCCAUCAAGAGGUGGAUGGUUCUUUGUGACAGCCACACUGAAUAGGAUGUGGUGGAGGUGGUACUGUGUGACUGGCUAAUAAAAGGUAAUAUGGCCUCUGUCUCUCUCUCGUUCUGUACUAUAAGAGUUCUGAACCAUCCUGUGACAAGUCUAGUUACCCUAAAGCUGUCAUGCAGGAGAGACCAUGUGGAGAGAAGGAGAGUUAGAGAGAGGAGGAGCCCCUGCUGUUUGAGUAUUCUCAGCCCAGACACCAGACAUGAGUGAGGAAGCAUUCAGGAAAAGACAGAAGCUGAUUGAGGUCCCAGCUUGGUAACAGUUUGAAGAGUUGCAGGACUGGCUGGAUGAGUACUGGCUGCAGCAAAUCAGGCUGCCAGGAUUCUUUAUGGCUGUUUCUGCUUCCACUACAGCUGAGUCAGAAAGGUCGCUGCCCCGUGGUGGCACUAGACGCAGUGGACCUGGCAAGCAAAUGUUUCCGCUAUUAGCUCUCAGCAACAGAGACUCAUUUAUGGUCACCUUGGAAAUCUGGGCUUAUCGAUCUACAGCCCAAGUCUGCUGAGAAGCUGGAGCUUACUAAAGGGGAAACCUGAGAGCUGUUCAAGCCCCAAAUAUUUUCCACUUCUGCGUCACCUCUGCUGUCUGUUAGCAGAGUGGAGGAGAAAAUACACAGCACAAACAACGUGAAAAAAUAGUUACUCUAUUCAUUAAAAGCUGUAACUUCCAGAUUGGACUUGAGAAGCAAUUAAGCAACAGAGGAACCUCAUCUACUAUCUGUAUUCAGG
rnacentral:lncRNA from 1 species